GACGAACGCUGGCGGCGUGCUUAACACAUGCAAGUCGAGCGGAAAGGCCCUUUUGGGGGUACUCGAGCGGCGAACGGGUGAGUAACACGUGAGUAACCUGCCCUGAACUUUGGGAUAAACCCUCGGAAACGGGGCUAAUACCGGAUAUGACCUGGUGCCGCAUGGUGGUGGGUGGAAAGUUUUCGGUUGGAUGACUCGCGGCCUAUCAGCUUGUUGGUGGGUGAUGGCCUACCAAGGCGACGACGGGUAGCCGGCCUGAGAGGGCGACCGGCCACACUGGGACUGAGACACGGCCCAGACUCCUACGGGAGGCAGCAGUGGGGAAUAUUGCACAAUGGGCGGAAGCCUGAUGCAGCGACGCCGCGUGA
rnacentral:rRNA from 1 species